rnacentral:rRNA from 1 species
UAUCUCUGUAGAGUCUGCAUAUCAAUAAGCGGAGGAAAAGAAACUAACAAGGAUUCCCCUAGUAACGGCGAGUGAAGCGGGAAGAGCUCAAAUUUGAAAUCUUCAAGGUUUGACCUUGACGAAUUGUAGUUUAAAGAAGUGUUUUCGGUUAGAGGAGUAGUAAAAGUUCUUUGGAAUAGGACAUCAUAGAGGGUGAGAAUCCCGUAUUUGACUAUUCUUUCUAGCUUUGUGAUACACUUUCAAAGAGUCGGAUUGUUUGGGAAUGCAGUCCAAAAUGGGUGGUAAAUUUCAUCUAAAGCUAAAUAUUGGCGAGAGACCGAUAGCGAACAAGUACCGUGAGGGAAAGAUGAAAAGAACUUUGAAAAGAGAGUUAAACAGUACGUGAAAUUGUCAAAAGGGAAGCGUUUGACACCAGUGUUGUUUUUCCGAAAAUCAAUUAAAAAUUGAUUCAUGCCAGGUUGUAUUGACCUUAUCAGCUUGCAAUUUGGUUUUGGGUCUCUUUUUGAUGCACUUUUCGGUUAACAAGUCAACAUCAAUUUCCUUUGCUGUAAAAAGGUAAGAGGAAGGUGGCUUGCACUUCGGCUGCAAGUGUUUAUAGCCUUUUAUCUCUGCAGUCGGAGAGAUUGAGGUCUGCAGCGUAGAUCCUUCGGGGUUAGAUACAUUUAUGCUAAGCUAUAGCCUUUUCAUAGACAACUUGUUGACUAUGCUCUAGUCAUGUAGCUUACUCGCUAAGUGCUAUUUUACCUACGCUUAGGAUGUUGACUGAUAUGUAGUCGUA